UCAGAUGUCGACGGGUCGGGAUGA
rnacentral:piRNA from 1 species